rnacentral:rRNA from 1 species
UGGGGAAUAUUGCACAAUGGAGGGAACUCUGAUGCAGCAACGCCGCGUGCGGGAUGACGGCCUUCGGGUUGUAAACCGCUUUCAGCCAUGACGAAGCUUUUGUGACGGUAGUGGUAGAAGAAGCACCGGCUAACUACGUGCCAGCAGCCGCGGUGAUACGUAGGGUGCGAGCGUUGUCCGGAAUUAUUGGGCGUAAAGAGCUUGUAGGCGGUUUGCCGCGUCGAUAGUGUAAACACGCAGCUUAACUGUGGGCCUGCUGUCGAUACGGGCUGACUAGAGGAGGGUAGGGGAGAAUGGAAUUCCCGGUGGAGCGGUGGAAUGCGCAGAUAUCGGGAGGAACACCAGUGGCGAAGGCGGUUCUCUGGACCUUUCCUGACGCUGAGAAGCGAAAGCGUGGGUGGCAAACAGG